ensembl:lncRNA
CAACUUUGUCCUUUAGCCGUCACUGAAAUUCCAGAUUUUCGUGACCCGGAAGUGUUUCUUUAAUGUUGCUCACAAGACGCAGAUGAAUGUGGUUCACUAUUUCAGUUCAAAUGGACACAUUCUAUUAAAGCACUUUACAAGAACACGUUGUUUUGGACGUACGGCAUGAGCUGAGGCCGAAGACUAACAAUAAAGAGACCAGGAUGUACAGUGGCCCUGGAGCUGAAGACUGAGAAAUUGCAGUGUCCAGAAAUCGAGACUCAUCAGACCAGGCAACAUUCUUCCAGUCUUCAACUGUCCAAUUUUGACCCUGGUUCCUGUGGCGGAAACGCAGCGAGUUCCUGAAAAGGUUCCUAGUUCCUGCGGUGGAAACGAGGCUUUUUUUGGAGUCCCUGAUAGAGGAUGUAGUAAAUGUUAUCGAUCAGCGAGGAGAGUUCGAUGAUGGAAGAUGAGGCCCCAUUGAGACCAACAGCAGCUUCGAGUCGGGAACCAGCACCGGUGGCAGCACCGACAUAGUCAACUUCCAGCGAACCACCUGGGAAUCUAUUUUCUUCACAAAAAUGUAGAACCUGUGGAAGAAACAGCAUUGGGAGCAUGAGCCUCUAACUGUCCUAAUGGAGAUGCAGGAAGCAGAUGUGGAGCAGCAGGAACUGAACUGGGCUCAGCGUGAGCAGCACCUACAGUGGGUCAUCGAAGAUGUGGCACAUGCAAGGGAGCUGGAAGCAAACUUGAGGAGGGAGGACAAUGCUCAAACGGCAGCCUUCAAUUAAGCCUUCCUUGCUACACUGAGCCAGCUUGUACAGGCAUUGAAUGGCCAGCCUUCCCCGAAUCCGCUGCCUCUGGACCAUACCCCCUGUGCCAAAUAUGAUAUUUUAUACUUUGCACUACUUUGUAUUUGCACUACAUUUUACCUAUGUAUAUAGUUUGCUGUGUUGCACUGUUUUUUCAUCUUAACACUUUCAUUUCUGUAUAUAUUUUGCUAUUUUAUUGGCACAUUUUGUUAAAUUAAGUGUUGUACCUUGUUACAAAUGUAUUUGACCAUGGUUUCCAAUUUCAAGGGCAUUUAAUUGAAUAAAGUUAAUACAGAACCUUAUAAAAUACACACAGUUUUAAAACAAUGCGGAAAGGUGGAACAACACGUGUCAAUACAAUUCAGAGUUCUAUUCUCGUAACAGGAAAGACAAAAAUUACUAUUUUAGCUAUUCAAGUAGCGCAUCAGCCCCUCUCGUACAUCCCUGCCCAACUCCUCCACGCCCUCUGUCAAUGUCACCAUAUGCUCUGCUGCUACAGCUGCAUCCCACACAUUGUCAUAUGUCUCUCCAUGACUCUUGCAUAGGUUACGCAGAGCACAGCAAGUCAGCACCAUAGAUUUGACCAGUUCGACAUCAGUAAUUUCUCUUCAUGAGGCAACACCACCUUGCCUUCAAUCUACUAAAAGCACUUUCAACCACUAUCCGUGCUCUGGAGAUUUUCCUGGUCUAGAUCUGCUGCCGUUCAGUGUCAGAGAAUGGUUUUAUGAGCCAGUUCUGUAAGGGAUAUGCAGAGUCUCCUGGGACGUAGUAGCCCACAUUUACCUCACAAAUAUUCCUGGUGUAUGCUGGAAAAUGGUUGCCACGGCUGGUCAACUCCCUCAAUGUGGACAGUCUAAAACCCAAACUUCAUAUGCAAGCUCUUUCCCUUUCCGUCUACAACACCAUGAAGGAUGAUGGAAUGCCAGCCUUUAUGUGUAAAAUAGUCACAAAAGUACUCCUGUGGUGCCGUGAUGGGUAUGUGUGAACCGUCAAUAGCACCAAUACACUGCGGGAGUCCCCACCUGUUCUCAGUGUAUGUGGCCAUUUUUUAUAUCAUCUCUGGGUCUGGAAAACUCAUUUGUUCUGGUACCAACAAUAACUCUGCAGCAGCUCAGAACUGUUGCACACACCGACACACAGUUGUUAUGCUUAUUCCAAAAAGACGUCUGAAAUUUCUGUACUAGGAGCCAUUCGCAUGUUUCCACAGCACAAUGGCUACCCUCUACUUUAGAGGUACACGCCUGCAAAGUUUUUUUUUUUAGCCUUUCGAUCACUGGAUGAAGUUUGUUGCCCAGACAGAUUACUGUUUCUUCGGACAUUCUGAAGUUCUGCACCCACUGUGUUA